rnacentral:rRNA from 1 species
UCCGGUGGCCAUGGCGGAGGAGUUACACCCGAUCCCAUCCCGAACUCGGAAGUUAAGCCCUCCAGCGCCGAUGGUACUGCACUGGCAACGGUGUGGGAGAGUAGGUCGCCGCCGGAG